CUGAACAGAGUUGAACAUGGGGCAUUUUCCCCUAAGGGAUAGGCGAAGGCCGUUCUGAAGCGGGGUGAUGUUCGCGUCGCCCCGGCGGACCGAAAGGGAAUCGGGUUAAUAUUCCCGAACCUCGACGCGGAGAUUGGCGCUCCGGCGCCUAGUGCGGCAACGCAAACGAACUCGGAAACGCCGACGUGGGUCCCGGGAAGAGUUCUCUUUUCUUGGGAAGGGGCGGCGACCCUGGAAUCGGUUCGCCCGGAGAUAGGGACAUGGGCCCCGUAAAGCAGCACGUCUCUUGUGCUGUCCGGUGAGCUCGCGUCGGCCCUUGAAAAUCCGAGGGAGACGGUGUAAUUUUCGUGCGAGGUCGUACCCAUAUCCGCAGCAGGUCUCCAAGGUGAACAGCCUCUGGCCGAUAGAACAAUGUAGGUAAGGGAAGUCGGCAAACUAGAUCCGUAACUUCGGGAAAAGGAUUGGCUCUAGGGGCUGGGUCGGUCGGGCUGAGGUACGAAGCGGGGCGCGGCGCUGUACCGGACUGGGCGAACGACGGCCUCCCUCGCGGGGGGCUGGCGUGAGCCUGGACCUGUGUCGGCGUCUUCCCGUGGAAUGCCGCAGCUAACGCGGGCCUCGCGGCCCGCUUCGGCCGGCGUCGAACAGCCGACUUAGAACUGGUACGGACCGGGGGAAUCCGACUGUUUAAUUAAAACAAAGCUUUGCGAUGGCCGUCAGCCGGUGU
rnacentral:ncRNA from 1 species